UGACUGCAACCUGCUGUCAGCCGCCACUGU
rnacentral:piRNA from 1 species